rnacentral:rRNA from 1 species
GACAGAGGCCUCGAGCGUUAGGCGGAAUCACUGGGCUUAAAGCGUGUGUAGGCGGAAGAGUAAGUACCUUGUGAAAUCCCACGGCUCACCCGUGGAACCGCUGGGUAUACUGCUCUUCUUGGGCCACUCAGGGGCGACUGGAACAAGCGGUGGAGCGGUGAAAUGCGUAGAUAUCUGGAGGAACACCGGUGGCGAAGGCGGCAUCCUGGACCGAGAUCGACGCUGAGGCGCGAAAGCUAGGGGAGCAAACGGG